ACGAUUGACGGAGCGAAGCGACGUCAAAGCGUUCAUUAAAGUCGAGUUGGCUUAGGGAUACGUUCGUUGGGUAGGGGAGCGUUCUGUAAGCCUGUGAAGGUGGCCUGUGAGGGUUGCUGGAGGUAUCAGAAGUGCGAAUGCUGACAUAAGUAACGAUAAAGCGGGUGAAAAGCCCGCUCGCCGGAAGACCAAGGGUUCCUGUCCAACGUUAAUCGGGGCAGGGUGAGUCGACCCCUAAGGCGAGGCCGAAAGGCGUAGUCGAUGGGAAACGGGUUAAUAUUCCCGUACUUGGUGUUACUGCGAAGGGGGGACGGAGAAGGCUAUGUUGGCCGGGCGACGGUUGUCCCGGUUUAAGCGUGUAGGUGUGUGUUCCAGGUAAAUCCGGUUCACUUUAACACUGAGGCGUGACGACGAGGCACUACGGUGCUGAAGCAACAAAUGCCCUGCUUCCAGGAAAAGCCUCUAAGCAUCAGGUAACAUCAAAUCGUACCCCAAACCGACACAGGUGGUCAGGUAGAGAAUACCAAGGCGCUUGAGAGAACUCGGGUGAAGGAACUAGGCAAAAUGGUGCCGUAACUUCGGGAGAAGGCACGCUGACACGUAGGUGAAGUGAUUUACUCACGGAGCUGAAGUCAGUCGAAGAUACCAGCUGGCUGCAACUGUUUAUUAAAAACACAGCACUGUGCAAACACGAAAGUGGACGUAUACGGUGUGACGCCUGCCCGGUGCCGGAAGGUUAAUUGAUGGGGUCAGCGCAAGCGAAGCUCCUGAUCGAAGCCCCGGUAAACGGCGGCCGUAACUAUAACGGUCCUAAGGUAGCGAAAUUCCUUGUCGGGUAAGUUCCGACCUGCACGAAUGGCGUAAUGAUGGCCAGGCUGUCUCCACCCGAGACUCAGUGAAAUUGAACUCGCUGUGAAGAUGCAGUGUACCCGCGGCAAGACGGAAAGACCCCGUGAACCUUUACUAUAGCUUGACACUGAACAUUGAGCCUUGAUGUGUAGGAUAGGUGGGAGGCUUUGAAGUGUGGACGCCAGUCUGCAUGGAGCCGACCUUGAAAUACCACCCUUUAAUGUUUGAUGUUCUAACGUGGACCCGUUACCCGGGUUGCGGACAGUGUCUGGUGGGUAGUUUGACUGGGGCGGUCUCCUCCUAAAGAGUAACGGAGGAGCACGAAGGUUGGCUAAUCCUGGUCGGACAUCAGGAGGUUAGUGCAAUGGCAUAAGCCAGCUUGACUGCGAGCGUGACGGCGCGAGCAGGUGCGAAAGCAGGUCAUAGUGAUCCGGUGGUUCUGAAUGGAAGGGCCAUCGCUCAACGGAUAAAAGGUACUCCGGGGAUAACAGGCUGAUACCGCCCAAGAGUUCAUAUCGACGGCGGUGUUUGGCACCUCGAUGUCGGCUCAUCACAUCCUGGGGCUGAAGUAGGUCCCAAGGGUAUGGCUGUUCGCCAUUUAAAGUGGUACGCGAGCUGGGUUUAGAACGUCGUGAGACAGUUCGGUCCCUAUCUGCCGUGGGCGCUGGAGAACUGAGGGGGGCUGCUCCUAGUACGAGAGGACCGGAGUGGACGCAUCACUGGUGUUCGGGUUGUCAUGCCAAUGGCACUGCCCGGUAGCUAAAUGCGGAAGAGAUAAGUGCUGAAAGCAUCUAAGCACGAAACUUGCCCCG
rnacentral:rRNA from 1 species